AAAGGAUGCGCCUCGUGUGCAUAACUCCUCUCAGCUUGUGGGUAAAACUGCUAGCUUGACUGAGUCCUUAACCCUUUGUGAACUUUAUAUUUAUGCUUCGGCAGCACGCCCUUUACGGGGUUGGUAAGGCUGCCGACAGCCCAUUUAAACUAUUUUAUUUAAAUCAUGAAGUCUGAUUACUGUUAAAUUUAAACAAGUUAAAACUUUCAGCAACGGAUCUCUUGGUUCU
rnacentral:misc_RNA from 1 species